rnacentral:rRNA from 1 species
AACGUCGACCUCGGAUCAGGUAGGGAUACCCGCUGAACUUAAGCAUAUCAAUAAGGCGGAGGAA